rnacentral:rRNA from 1 species
UGGGGAAUAUUGCACAAUGGGCGCAAGCCUGAUGCAGCCAUGCCGCGUGUGUGAAGAAGGCCUUCGGGUUGUAAAGCACUUUUGGCAGGAAAGAAACGUCGCGGGUUAAUACCCCGCGAAACUGACGGUACCUGCAGAAUAAGCACCGGCUAACUACGUGCCAGCAGCCGCGGUAAUACGUAGGGUGCAAGCGUUAAUCGGAAUUACUGGGCGUAAAGCGUGCGCAGGCGGUUCGGAAAGAAAGAUGUGAAAUCCCAGAGCUUAACUUUGGAACUGCAUUUUUAACUACCGGGCUAGAGUGUGUCAGAGGGAGGUGGAAUUCCGCGUGUAGCAGUGAAAUGCGUAGAUAUGCGGAGGAACACCGAUGGCGAAGGCAGCCUCCUGGGAUAACACUGACGCUCAUGCACGAAAGCGUGGGGAGCAAACAGGAUUAGAUACCCUGGUAGUCCACGCCCUAAAACGAUGUCAACUAGCUGUUGGGGCCUUCGGGCCUUGGUAGCGCAGCUAACGCGUGAAGUUGACCGCCUGGGGA